rnacentral:rRNA from 1 species
UGGGGAAUAUUGGACAAUGGGGGGAACCCUGAUCCAGCCAUGCCGCGUGUGUGAAGAAGGCCUUAUGGUUGUAAAGCACUUUAAGCGAGGAGGAGGGUACUGGUAUUAAUACUACCAGCUACUGGACGUUACUCGCAGAAUAAGCACCGGCUAACUCUGUGCCAGCAGCCGCGGUAAUACAGAGGGUGCGAGCGUUAAUCGGAUUUACUGGGCGUAAAGCGUGCGUAGGCGGCUAAUUGAGUCGGAUGUGAAAUCCCCGAGCUUACUUGGGAAUUGCAUUCGAUACUGGUUAGCUAGAGUGUGGGAGAGGAUGGUAGAAUUCCAGGUGUAGCGGUGAAAUGCGUAGAGAUCUGGAGGAAUACCGAUGGCGAAGGCAGCCAUCUGGCCUAACACUGACGCUGAGGUACGAAAGCAUGGGGAGCAAACAGG